AGUAGUUUGAUCAUGGCUCAGAGUGAACGCUGGCGGCAGGCCUAAUACAUGCAAGUCGAACGGCAGCACAGCAGAGCUUGCUCUGUGGGUGGCGAGUGGCGGACGGGUGAGGAAUACGUGGGAAUCUGCCCAGUCGUGGGGGAUAACGUAGGGAAACUUACGCUAAUACCGCAUGCGCCCUUCGGGGGAAAGCCGGGGAACCUUCGGGCCUGGCGCGAUUGGAUGAGCCCACGUCGGAUUAGCUAGUUGGCGGGUAAAGGCCCACCAAGGCGACGAUCCGUAGCUGGUCUGAGAGGAUGAUCAGCCACACUGGAACUGAGACACGGUCCAGACUCCUACGGGAGGCAGCAGUAGGGAAUAUUGGACAAUGGGCGCAAGCCUGAUCCAGCCAUGCCGCGUGAGUGAAGAAGGCCCUCGGGUUGUAAAGCUCUUUUGUCCGGAAAGAAAAGCGCCGGGUUAAUACCCUGGUGUCCUGACGGUACCGGAAGAAUAAGCACCGGCUAACUUCGUG
rnacentral:rRNA from 1 species